rnacentral:rRNA from 1 species
UACGUAGGGUGCAAGCGUUAAUCGGAAUUACUGGGCGUAAAGCGUGCGCAGGCGGUUUUGUAAGUCUGUCGUGAAAGCGCCGGGCUCAACCUGGGAAUUGCGAUGGAGACUGCAAGGCUUGAAUCUGGCAGAGGGGGGUAGAAUUCCACGUGUAGCAGUGAAAUGCGUAGAGAUGUGGAGGAACCCCGAUGGCGAAGGCAGCCCCCUGGGUCAAGAUUGACGCUCAUGCACGAAAGCGUGGGGAGCAAACAGG